AAAGCCGCUGUUUACUUCUAAGAUCACUUUAGCACCGCCCUAAAAACCCGAUUCAAAUUCGACACAAACCUUCAAAUAGGUAUGUAAUGACACAUUAUAUAAACUUUUUAUACUGUUUUAUUUACAUUUUAGAGGCGAUAAGGUGAUAAGUUGGAUAGAUCGAGUGAAAAAAAGCAAUUUCCCCACACAACCUCUCUCCUUCUCACUAUCACGCAUUAGUUUCGCUUCCCCACCCGCCAUUUUUAAAAAGACCCGACGGGGCUCAUUACCUGCUUGAAUUAUGCAGAAACGGGCAGCGUUUAGGUCAUGUAAUUGAUAAUGUUGGAAAGGGGAGAAAUUGUGCUUUACAAUGGUAUUGACAUUACAGUUGAUCUGGAAGUAUUACGUUUUUGGGGCGCUAAAAUAAGGGCAAUUGUACGGACCAAGGCGAUGUACGAGUUUACGUGAGUUUACGUUAAGCUGACAUUGACUAAAACCAACUAGGCUAGAGCUAACUGCUAUAGCUAGCGAACUGUUAAAUGCUAUUUUUGUUCAAAUAUUAACACAAACACAUUGUUUUGUGACGUCACAUAUUUACAUAUAUUACCUAAAGUAAACUGAGCCUUUGUUCAUGGAAAAUAAAACCAAUUGAAUCUAAAACGUUGAAAAAAAAGUACAGAAAGUUUGGACGCCAUGUUAAUCCCUUCUCGUUCAGGUAAAUCAUUAGCAAUCUAGGCUAACUCCAUCAAUUUACCUACAAUGGGGAAAAUACCAACCAGUUUUUCACUCAGUUAAAACUGGCUUCAAACAUCUCCAAACUCAUGGCCUAUGUAAUUAACCAUGUUGCCUCAAUAUUUUGAGUCAUAUUGCAUUUUUGCACGUUACAUACCUGAAUUAAUAGGGUAAAAUGAUGAGACAGAGAAACGUUCGUUUUCAUUACUAGUCAUUCUCCAUAAUGAAUAAGAAAUGUUAAAUACUUCACUAACUCACUUCAUUGACGGCACAGCUCCCCUAGCGGCAAUAAUUAUAUAUAUACAUUAAAUGCAAAUACCUGGGAGGCAAAAUAAAACAUAAAAAAUAUGACCAUACAUAUGUGUGUCACAUACACAUGGCAUAUGCUCGAAUACCACAUAUAACUAAAACAUUGGUAUGAAUACACCAAACGCGAUCACGACACGCAGGUUAAAGUAUCAAAAAAAACUCUGAACCAAUUAUAUUCAUUUGGGGACAGGUCGAAAAGCAUUAAACAUGUAUGGCAAUUUAGCUAGUUAGCUUGCACUUGCUAGCUAAUUUGUCCUAUUUAGCUAGCUUGCUGUUGCUAGUUAAUUUGUCCUGGGAUAUAAACAGUAGGUUGAUAUUUUACCUGAAAUGCACAAGGUCCUCUACUCCGACAAUUAAUCCACACAUAAAACGGUCAACCGAAUCGUUUCUAGUCAUCUCUCCUUCCAGGCUUUUUCAUCUUUUAAUUUAUAUUGAUAUAUAUAUAUAUAUAUUGAUUGGCAUCUAAACUUUCAUAGUAUUACCACGACAACCGGCAACACAGUUCGUCUUUCAAUCACCCACGUGGGUAUAACCAAUGAGGAGAUGGCACGUGGGUACCUGCUUCUAUAAACCAAUGAGGAGAUGGGAGAGGCAGGACUUGCAGCGCGAUCUGCGUCAGAAAUAGAAAGGAGUUCUAUUUUAGCCCUUGGCAUCGCAGACGCUCAGUGAUGCGUGCGAGCAUUGUGGGUGCAAUAAUUGAAUAACAUAGAUUUUUGAAUUUAUUUUGCAACGCGAAGUGCACGUGGAGCCAACAGUGUAGCCAGGGUAUUUUACACUAUGUUGGGAUAAAAAAACAGAGUAUAAUACUUAUAUGGAUGUCAUCCCCAAUACAUGUUCAUGUCAUCUUCACCAAUCAACUGGUUUACACCUAACUUCCAACACCAAUUUCAGGCUAGCUAUGCUACCAUCUUAUCUGAAUGGGAGUUAGCGGGUUAACAAAAAGAAAAUCUAAACCCGAAAAAGGACCACUUCUAAAUAUUAUGCAGCAAAAACAGGCCAAUCUAUAAAAUUCAGAUUUUAGUAACCACAUUGUGGGCUUGUUAGAACACACAAAUUAUGACCGAUUAGACAAAUAUCCACUUUCUUAAACAAGGUUUUUUCAAUGGGCUCCAAUGACAGCGUCCUUGUGCUAUUCCCCACGAAAGAUUAUCUGCAUUGGACCUCUGCAACAGCAUCACAUAACCUAGUGGAAGGCUCUGGUGUUUUCUUCAAUGCCCGCACUAUCCUUUUUAAAACCCCGGAAGGAGGAAGAGGAAGAUGGUCAAG